rnacentral:rRNA from 1 species
GACGAACGCUGGCGGCGUGCUUAACACAUGCAAGUCGAACGGAAAGGCCCUGCUUUUGUGGGGUGCUCGAGUGGCGAACGGGUGAGUAACACGUGAGUAACCUGCCCUUGACUUUGGGAUAACUUCAGGUAACUGGGGCUAAUACCGGAUAGGAGCUCCUGCUGCAUGGUGGGGGUUGGAAAGUUUGGGCGGUUGGGGAUGGACUCGCGGCUUAUCAGCUUGUUGGUGGGGUAGUGGCUUACCAAGGCUUUGACGGGUAGCCGGCCUGAGAGGGUGACCGGCCACAUUGGGACUGAGAGACGGCCCAGACUCCUACGUGAGGCAGCAGGGGGGAAUAUUGCACAAUGGGCGGAAGCCUGAUGCAGCAACGCCGCGUGCGGGAUGACGGCCUUCGGGUUGUAAACCGCUUUCGCCUGUGACGAAGCGUGAGUGACGGUAAUGGGUAAAGAAGCACCGGCUAACUACGUG